GACGAACGCUGGCGGCGUGCCUAAUACAUGCAAGUAGGACGCAGUUGCGAACGGGUGAGUAACGCGUAGGUCACUACCUAUUAGAGGGUGCUAACUAUUGGAAACGAUAGCUAAUACCGCAUCCUCGUAGAUUGACCUGCGUUGUAUUAGCUAGUAGUGAGGGUAAUGGCCUACCUAGGCAACGAUACAUAGCCGACCUGAGAGGGUGAGCGGCCACACUGGGACUGAGACACGGUCCAGACUCCUACGGGAGGCAGCAGGGGGGAAUAUUGGACAAUGGGCGAAAGCCUGAUCCAGCCAUGCCGCGGGUGUGAAGAAGGUCUUCGGAUUGUAAAGCACUUUAAGUGGGGAGGCGUUACCAACAGAAUAAGCACCGGCUAACUACGUGCCAGCCGCCGCGGUAAUAC
rnacentral:rRNA from 1 species